UACAGAGGGGGCAAGCGUUAUUCGGAAUUAUUGGGCGUAAAGGGCGCGUAGGCGGCUUGGCAAGUGGAUGGUGAAAUCCCUCGGCUUAACCGAGGAACUGCCGUCCAAACUGCUUCGCUUGAGACCGGGAGAGGUGAGUGGAAUUCCCAGUGUAGCGGUGAAAUGCGUAGAUAUCAGGAGGAACACCGGUGGUGUAGACGGCUUUCUGGACCGUAACUGACGCUGAGACACGAAAGCGUGGGUAGCAAACAGG
rnacentral:rRNA from 1 species